rnacentral:siRNA from 1 species
ACGUUUAUACGAUUGCGAUAAUCA